ACCCAUUUGACUGUAUAAACCCAGUACCAGUCUUUGUCUCAAUUAUCUUCAGACAAGUUUCACACACUGCUAGCAUAUUGAAUUUGAAUAAGUAAAAGACACAACAGUGUGACAUCAUGAAGUUGCAACAUACACUCAUUCUGAUUGGUUGUCUUUUCUUAAUGGGAGCAGUAACAGCAGACGCAUAUAAGCGUUGUCAGGCUGAGAACUGGAAUUGUUUGAUUUACGGUUUUGGAAAAUUUACUAUACCAUGUUGUGCUGGGUUGAUUUGUCGUGCAUACUAUCCAGGUUCUACAAGUGGGAAAUGCAGGAGGUUCUGGGGAUAAUCCCAUCUGACAGUGAUCCUGGUUCAACUUGAAGAAGUUACUGGUUUAAUAUCACUACAAUAAUCCAUUAUUAUAAUCCAGCUCUGUUUUGUGUUAUUCUUCUGUUUUUCUAUACUCUAUAAAUUAAUAUUCUACUUUAGAUGGUAGUUUAAAAGUGAACACAGUUAAGAUGUCAUUAAACUUUAAAGAGGAAACUUGUAGCUUGUGCCAAGUAUGUAUAACCUUUAAAACAUUAAAUAGUUGUGUUUCUCUUACACAAGCAAAUAUAUAUGUGUGUGUUGGGGGGGGGGGGUUCUUUCAAGUCAAUAGCAGAUUAUUAAUAUCUGUCCUUGUAA